rnacentral:rRNA from 1 species
UACGGAGGGUGCAAGCGUUACUCGGAAUCACUGGGCGUAAAGCGCGCGCAGGCGGCCUUUUAAGUUGGAUGUGAAAGCCUACGGCUCAACCGUAGAACUGCAUCCAAAACUAUCAGGCUAGAGUGUGGGAGAGGAAGAUGGAAUUAGUUGUGUAGGGGUAAAAUCCGUAGAGAUAACUAGGAAUACCAAAAGCGAAGGCAAUCUUCUGGAACACUACUGACGCUGAGGCGCGAAAGCGUGGGGAGCAAACAGGAUUAGAUACCCUGGUAGUCCACGCAGUAAACGAUGAAUGUUAGUCGUCGGGGGCCUAGUGUCUUCGGUGAUGCAGCUAACGCAUUAAACAUUCCGCCUGGGGAGUACGGUCGCAAGAUUAAAACUCAAAGGAAUAGACGGGGACCCGCACAAGUGGUGGAGCAUGUGGUUUAAUUCGAAGAUACGCGAAGAACCUUACCUAGCCUUGACAUAUAUUAGAACUCCGUAGAGAUACAGAGGUGCCUUCGGGAGCUUUUAUACAGGUGCUGCACGGCUGUCGUCAGCUCGUGUCGUGAGAUGUUGGGUUAAGUCCCGCAACGAGCGCAACCCUCGUCACUAGUUACUAACGGUUCGGCCGAGGACUCUAGUGAGACUGCCUUCGUAAGGAGGAGGAAGGUGAGGACGACGUCAAGUCAUCAUGGCCCUUACGGCUAGGGCAACACACGUGCUACAAUGGCCAGGACAGUGAGACGCAAUACCGCGAGGUGGAGCAAAUCUAUAAACCUGGUCUCAGUUCGGAUUGUUCUCUGCAACUCGAGAACAUGAAGCUGGAAUCACUAGUAAUCGUAGAUCAGCUAUGCUACGGUGAAUACGUUCCCGGGUC